rnacentral:rRNA from 1 species
AGAGUUUGAUCAUGGCUCAGGAUGAACGCUGACAGAAUGCUUAACACAUGCAAGUCAACUUGAAUUUGGGUUUUUAACUUAGAUUUGGGUGGCGGACGGGUGAGUAACGCGUAAAGAACUUGCCUCACAGUUAGGGACAACAUUUAGAAAUGAAUGCUAAUACCUGAUAUUAUGAUUUUAAGGCAUCUUAGAAUUAUGAAAGCUAUAAGCACUGUGAGAGAGCUUUGCGUCCCAUUAGCUAGUUGGAGAGGUAACAGCUCACCAAGGCGAUGAUGGGUAGCCGGCCUGAGAGGGUGAACGGCCACAAGGGGACUGAGACACGGCCCUUACUCCUACGGGAGGCAGCAGUGGGGAAUAUUGCACAAUGGGCGAAAGCCUGACGCAGCAAUACCGCGUGAGUGAAGAAGGUUUUCGGAUCGUAAAGCUCUGUUAUUGGGGAAGAAGCAGUGACGGUACCCAAUGAGGAAGUCCCGGCUAUCUACGUGCCAGCAGCCGCGGU